rnacentral:misc_RNA from 1 species
GUGAAUCAUCGAAUUUUUGAACGCAUAUUGCACUCUUUGGUAUUCCGGAGAGUAUGCCUGUUUGAGGGUCAUUUGAAAUAAUAUAAAUUUCGAGAUUUUCUUGGCAUCAAAAAUGGGACGGUCCAGCUUUCGUGUGGUGGUCGCCUAAAAUGCACGACAUGCUCAGUUCUUGGGCAGCGUGAUACUUUCAGUUACCUCGUGACCUCACACGGAAUCCUCUAGCGUGUUCAGUAUUUUGCAAGAGAUCAUC